ACUGUCAAAUCAGGUGAGCAAAACCGUCCUCACAACUGGUCAAUUUGCCCGGUGCUUGGCCCUUAAUGAAACCCAUGAUUAUCUGAGGUAAACUAACGUUACUGUAAAAUACUGGGUGACAUUACCUAAUUACCCAUUACGUUGCUUAAAAACAGCCAAAAAUUUAUGCUUGGCAGAAGGUCACUUUGGGAAUAUUGAAGCAAUUUAUAUACUUUUGUUCUCCAGGACAAAGCAACACAAUGCAGUAUUAAGCAAUGAAUAACAAAAGAAAAACGCGUGCCCAAUGCGCAUCUACUAACACGUAUUUUUACACGCGCACACGCAAAAAAUGUGUGUGCAACUUACGCGUGUGAGGUUCGAAUAUAUCUGAGCUGUACUGUAAGUGAACAGUGUACUCAUCGAUGUUUAACUGGUUACUCGUCCAAUCCAAUCCAGACAACAGUUCACCAAUUAAUUUCUUCUAAUUGCUUAGACUGUUGCCGUUUUAUCUGUAUCCAAGCAAGACAGAAGUGCAUGACCACAUACACGUAGACUCCAGCAACUGGACGCCAUCUUGCCUCAUGGCAAAAACUCAUUCCCAGGCUCUUCUGGGCUUUCAACUUGGCUAAGAAAGUGUACUUCAACACUACAAGAGUUCUCUUAGUGCAUUUGCUGCAAAUUCACAUGAAAGAAAUCGCAUUUUCUAUGGGUUGAAAGUCAAACGUUUGAGACAUUCUUUUAUCUUUAAUUCAAGGCAUCUUAAGCUGAGUGUUUUCAUUAUAUUACUCCAAGGAGUACAGUACUCGUCCAGUCGGACGAGUGACUUUUGGGAUCCACUCGUCCGUGGUGAAGAAGUAGUCAUCUCAGACGGGCAGACAUGUGGAAGUUUUUCGCCCUGUUUAGUCAAGCUCCUAGUGUUUAUUCGAGGUGCCUGUGUUUAAUUGAGGCAUCAGCGUUUAAUCGGGUCAAGGCACUGAGUCACACUAAAGUAUACUCUAAGUGAUUUCUCUGGAGUGAAGUUCCCAUAACAUACAGAGAGGAAAUGGCCAACUUCCACAUGAUUUGGCUAUUGAUUGCAUUAAAAGCGAUACUGACCAACCUGGCUUUGAGGAAAGGUUCAUCAGUGAUUACAUUGGUAAAGGUGUAUUUGCAACCAGAGAAUUUAAGAAUGGAGACUUCUUGUUACAAUACAAAGGAGAGCUUA